rnacentral:rRNA from 1 species
AGUGAAUGCUGGCGGCAGGCUUAACACAUGCAAGUCGAGCGGGGUGAUGGUGCUUGCACUAUCACUCAGCGGUGGACGGGUGAGUAAUGCUUAGGAAUCUGCCUAGUAGUGGGGGACAACAUCCCGAAAGGGAUGCUAAUACCGCAUACGUCCUACGGGAGAAAGCUGGUGAUCACUUGUGACCUUGCGCUACUAGAUCAGCCCAAGUCGGAUUAGCUAGUUGGUGGGGUAAAGGCCUACCAAGGCGACGAUCUGUAGCGGGUCUGCGAGGGUGAUCCGCCACACUGGGACUGAGACACGGCCCAGACUCCUACGGGAGGCAGCAGUGGGGAAUAUUGGACAAUGGGGGGAACCCUGAUCCAGCCAUGCCGGGUGUGUGAAGAAGGCCUUAUGGUUGUAAAGCACUUUAAGCGAGGAGGAGGCUCUUUUGGUUAAUACCCAAGAUGAGUGGACGUUACUCGCAGAAUAAGCACCGGCUAACUCUGUGCCAGCCGCCGCGGUAA